GACGAACGCUGGCGGCGUGCUUAACACAUGCAAGUGGAGCGACGAACCGGGCUUCGGCCCGGGGCAAAGCCGCGAACGGGUGAGUAUCACGUGGGUAACCUGCCCCGAUGACCGGGACAACCCGAGGAAACUCGGGCUAAUACCGGAUGUGCUCUCAAUCCACCAGGGUUGAGAACAAAGGAGGCUUCGGCCUCCGCAUUGGGAUGGGCCCGCGGCCCAUUAGCUUGUUGGUGAGGUAAAGGCUCACCAAGGCGACGAUGGGUAGCUGGUCUGAGAGGACGAUCAGCCACACUGGGACUGAGACACGGCCCAGACUCCUACGGGAGGCAGCAGUGGGGAAUCUUGCGCAAUGCGCGAAAGCGUGACGCAGCAACGCCGCGUGAGGGAAGAAGGCCUUCGGGUUGUAAACCUCUUUCAGGAGGGACGAAGGUUCAGGCGCGAAUAGCGUCCUGGACUGACGGUACCUCCAGAAGAAGCCCCGGCUAACUACGUGCCAGCAGCCGCAGUAACAC
rnacentral:rRNA from 1 species